rnacentral:rRNA from 1 species
CCUACGGGUGGCAGCAGUGAGGAAUAUUGGUCAAUGGACGAGAGUCUGAACCAGCCAAGUAGCGUGAAGGAUGAAUGCCCUAUGGGUUGUAAACUUCUUUUAUAUGGGAAUAAAACAGGGUAUGCAUACCCUCUUGUAUGUACCAUAUGAAUAAGGAUCGGCUAACUCCGUGCCAGCAGCCGCGGUAAUACGGAGGAUCCGAGCGUUAACCGGAUUUAUUGGGGUUAAAGGGAGCGUAGGUGGAGUGUUAAGUCAGUUGUGAAAGGUUGGGGCUCAACCUGAAAAUUGCAGUUGAAACUGGCAGUCUUGAGUACAGUAGAGGGGGGCGGAAUUCGUGGUGUAGCGGGGAAAUGCUUAGAUAUCACGAAGAACUCCGAUUGCGAAGGCAGCUCACUGGACUGCAACUGACACUGAUGCUCGAAAGUGUGGGUAUCAAACAGGAUUAGAUACCCCUGUAGUC